CCUACGGGGGGCAGCAGUGAGGAAUAUUGGUCAAUGGACGAGAGUCUGAACCAGCCAAGUAGCGUGAAGGAUGACUGCCCUAUGGGUUGUAAACUUCUUUUAUAAAGGAAUAAAACGCGGCACGUGUGCCUUUUUGCAUGUACUUUAUGAAUAAGGAUCGGCUAACUCCGUGCCAGCAGCCGCGGUAAUACGGAGGAUCCGAGCGUUAUCCGGAUUUAUUGGGUUUAAAGGGAGCGUAGAUGGUUUGUUAAGUCAGUUGUGAAAGUUUGCGGCUCAACCGUAAAAUUGCAAUUGAUACUGGCAGUCUUGAGUACAGGUGAGGUAGGCGGAAUGCGUGGUGUAGCGGUGAAAUGCUUAGAUAUCACGAAGAACCCCGAUUGCGAAGGCAGCUUACUGAACUGUGACUGACAUUGAUGCUCGAAAGUGUGGGUAUCGAACAGGAUUAGAUACCCGAGUAGUC
rnacentral:rRNA from 1 species